AUCUUAAAAUAUUAGAUUAAAACUGUAGCCCAAAUCCCACACUAGACCAUGGAGCAUCUAAGAGAAUUACAAAAGGCCUCAUAUGAAUAAAUGAUAAAGACUCUUUGAGCAGCCUCCACGAACAAUGCGGCGACUCACCUCAAUAACUGAAUCAACUCUAGCGAACUCGUCGGCUACUAGCUCCGUCUUCACCAAUAGUAUCUGCAUGGACAUGCAGGUAAGGAGUGAGUUAUACGUAAAUAUAACCCAGUAAGAUCAUCGAUCCGCCACUCUGAAUACCUCUGGAACAAGUGUUAGAAAAUACAAACACACAACGCGCACACAAAUAAUAUUCACAGAAAUUCCUUUAUAAUAUAAUUACUCUAUAAGAUCCAAAUAAUUAUUCAACAAUGCUACAUAUAUCUCAAUACAAUCUACACUAAGGACUUGUCAUUAACGACAGUGUAGGAAAUUAACCAAACACCUCAACGAAUCCACGAAAUACACAAUACCCAAAAUCUAUCACGGCGGCAUACACAAUUGCCCAAAUAUAUAGCGCGGCACACACAAUGCCCCAAAUAUAUAGCGGCGACAUACACAAUGCCCCAAAUCUAUCACGGCGGCAUACACAAUGCCCCAAAUCUAAUCACGACGGCAUGCACAAUGUCCCAAAUAUAUAGCUGCGAUAUACACAAUGCCCCAAAUAUAUUACGACAACGAAGAAAUAAUUUCUAACGCCCCAAUGCCAUAGCACAAGGCUACGCCACAUCACACUACACUACAAAUUACUUAUUAAAUAAUUUUAGCUUUUUACAAAAUAAUAUAUAUUUGUGGCUGGUCAAAGACCACCGAUUCUGCCAAGCGCACGCUCGUUCCAACACAUGGACCAGACAAAAAAAAAAAACUUUCAAAACGAAUUUUGGAAAAGCAAGCACCCAAGACUUAAAAUCUCACUUACCUCGCUAACGGGACAUUCACCAAUCCUUCAACGUUUAUAACACCAACCAAACGGCCUCCAAUGACCACAAUCUAUACAAAAUAUUUACUAACAAUGUCAAUUAGCUAGUUGGAUUCAAAUCCCAACAUCUCAAUCCGUACUCACUAAUUAAUUGAAAUUCCUAUAGAUUAAAACUUAUAUUCCAGUAAUAAUAAUUCUAGAGUAGAAAUUAAGGUAUCUCCUUUUAGAAACCAAAACAGUAGCGUUUUAUCAUCCUAUAAGCCAUCAAAUACUCUAAAAUUGUGAAGUAAGUAUCUCUCAUUUUAGAAAUCAAAACAGUAACAUUAUAUCAUCAUCUAAGCCAUCAAAUGUUCUAAAAUUGUGAAGUCCAAAUCGAUUCCUUUAGUUUAUAUCCUAUUCUUAUACCUAAAACUUUAAACACUCAAUUAUUAGGCCAUAAUUAUUUAUCUCGAUCAUUACUACAAUCAUGCUUCAUAAAAUUCUAGUUGUCAUUAUUAUUCGAUCAAAUUGAAAUUGCAAUACCAAAUAAUAAUACCUGAAGCCUCUUAGAAUAAGUCAGAAAUCUCCACGGUCUUUUU
rnacentral:lncRNA from 1 species